GCCUAGAGGUUAAGGCUAUGGAUCGCCAAUCCGGAGACGGCGGGUUCGAUUCCCGU
rnacentral:tRNA from 1 species